CAACCCCUAGCCAGUACUGUCUCUAGACACACCUGAUCAACCCCUAGCCAGUACUGUCUCUAGACACACCUGAUCAACCCCUAGCCAGUACUGUCUCUAGACACACCUGAUCAACCCCUAGCCAGUACUGUCUCUAGACACACCUGAUCAGCCCCUAGCCAGUACUGUCUCUAGACACACCUGAUCAACCCCUAGCCAGUACUGUCUCUACACACACCUGAUCAGCCCCUAGCCAGUACUGUCUCUAGACACCCGUGUAGAUCUGAAAGGAGCCGAUUUUAAGCAGUAUUCAUGUUUUUCUGCCUUGCUGUUCGGAGGAUUUUUUUUUACCAUAUUGCUAAGACCUAUCCAUUCAUUUCAGAUCUAGAGGUAUGUCUUGGGCGUAGGAGUUGAUUUGGGAUCCAGCACCCCAGUGUAGAUGUUUUUGUUCAGAAGUUUUCCGUGAAGCCAUUUUGUUUGUCUGUUCAGAGUUAAGAUUGUGUCUAACGUAAAUGCUUUGGGUUGCUGUUUGGCAGUAUGUACCUGUUCCUUUCAUUUCAACACUUCAAAUAAAGCCUUAAGUCUGUGGACAUUUCACCCUAACAUUCCUGUCGACUUGAGUUGGGGAGUCUCAUGGUCUGCAGGGGGACUGACUGCUGCUAUGGGUUCGGUUGGAGGAAUCUUCUCAAUCACUGUGAAAAGAUGUUUUGGGGUCAUACUGGUCAAAAAGAUUCUGGCUGUAUCCCUUUUGUCUGGGGGUAAAGGGGGGAUUCCCCCCAACAGACCCCUUCCCUGCUCCCCAUCUCGUUUCACUCCAAAGAACUCUGCAAGUGUCACCAAGACUACGUUUUGGAAGAAACACUGCAUGCAAACAACUUUUCAUAAAGGACAUUUGAGUGCAGAGAGAAGAAGCCAGAGGAAUGACUGGGUUGGAAGUCUUCUGCUAAUGUUCUCAGCUGUAAAAGAAGAAUAAUAAUCAACACAGAAACACUACACUGCUCAAGGAGUGUCCUCUUGGAAGGAGGAGGUAUAAGUGAAGGAUAUGUGCGUAGCAACUUGUGAUUAAUGUUUUGACUGACAGUGUAUUGCUGUGAGGUGAUGGCUGUAUUUUGCGGUCGUGGUUGGGUUUUCGUGUGACGAAUAAAAGAUUCUAGUGUUUUCUCGUCAUAACUUACUAAGGGGCCUAUGUUUUGACACAACAAGCCCUUUAACUUAACAUCUAGUUUUUUCUGCUGGUCUUUUUAAAGAACGAAAAACUGCUUUAGUCCCAUUUUAUUGUUUUGAUACUGACAUUUUUACAAUGUUCUUUUCCAGUAAAUGUUGAUAGAUUUACACUAAUGCUGGUUUGUCAGAACCAUAUGUAAUGUAUCUAUAUAUCCUCUAUACAUAAUAUAAAACAUUGAUUUAAGGGCUAUUCUAGCCUACUUGAGUUUAACACUGGAGUCACAGUAUGCAAAUCUAAUGCAUAAAAAAAACUAGUGGGUACAGAGGUUUCUUAGUGUUAAACUGACAAAGAAAAAGCCUUAAAUGUGCCGUGCUACAGAUUGUCAUUCAUGUUGACUGUGUUGCUUUCAGGUAACACAGUGGAUGUUUUAAUGCUUAAUGGAAUAAAGAAUGCAUGGAAUUACA
ensembl:lncRNA